GAUAAACGCUGGCGGCGCACAUAAGACAUGCAAGUCGAACGGACUUAACCAUUAGUUUACUAUUGGAGCGGUUAGUGGCGGACUGGUGAGUAACACGUGAGUAACCUGCCUCUCAGAGUGGAAUAACGUUUGGAAACGAACGCUAAUACCGCAUAACGUGAGAAGAGGGCAUCCUCUUUUUACCAAAGAUUUAUCGCUGAGAGAUGGGCUCGCGGCCGAUUAGGUAGUUGGUGAGAUAACAGCCCACCAAGCCGACGAUCGGUAGCCGGACUGAGAGGUUGAUCGGCCACAUUGGGACUGAGACACGGCCCAG
rnacentral:rRNA from 1 species